UACGUAGGGGGCAAGCGUUGUCCGGAUUCAUUGGGCGUAAAGAGCGUGUAGGCGGCCAGGUAGGUCGGUUGUGAAAACUGGAGGCUCAACCUUCAGACGUCGACCGAAACCAUCUGGCUAGAGUCCGGGAGAGGAGAGUGGAAUUCCUAGUGUAGCGGUGAAAUGCGCAGAUAUCAGGAAGAACACCCGUGGCGAAAGCGGCUCUCUGGAACGGUACUGACGCUGAGACGCGAAAGCGUGGGGAGCGAACAGG
rnacentral:rRNA from 1 species